GAAGAAGUGGAAGGGGAGAGAGAAGACUAUUGGUAUGUAGUAUGCAUUGGUGAUAUAAGUUCCCAAAUGCAAGUCUUUAUAUAUAAUUUCUUAUCAGGCAACGGCCUCUUUCAGUUUGUUUGUUCCAAUGAAUUAUAGAUUUCAUCUAUCAUUUCUCAUUUAUCCUCUCUCCUCUUUCCUCUCUAUGUUGGGCAUUGGCUUGGGCAUGAAGGAGUUUCCUACUUGGGUUUCAC
rnacentral:lncRNA from 1 species